CAGCCGCCGCGGUAAUACGUAGGGUGCGAGCGUUCAUCGGAUUUACUGGGCGUAAAGCGUGCGCAGGCGGCCCGUUAAGACAGGUGUGAAAUCCCUGGGCUCAACCUAGGAAUUGCGCUUGUGACUGGCGGGCUCGAGUACGGUAGAGGGGGGGGGAAUUCCUGGUGUAGCAGUGAAAUGCGUAGAGAUCAGGAGGAACACCGAUGGCGAAGGCAGCCCCCUGGGCCUGUACUGACGCUCAUGCACGAAAGCGUGGGGAGCAACCAGGAUUAGAUACCCUGGUAGUCCACGCCCUAAACGAUGGGUACUAGCCGUUUGGUGCGCGAUAGCGCUGAGUGGCGAAGCUAACGCGUGAAGUACCCCGCCUGGGGAGUACGGCCGCAAGGUUGAAACUUAAAGGAAUUGGCGGG
rnacentral:rRNA from 1 species